AGAAGCCCGCCUACGGCGGGCGAGACCGCGAAUGGCUCCAUACAACAGUCCCAGUUUACUGGAUGGUCGUGGCCUAGUUGGAUAACUGUGGUAAUUCUAGAGCUAAUACAUGCCCCCGAGCUCCGACUGUGCGGCGGCCGUCGGGGGCUUCGCGGCCCUCGGCCGGUCGCUGCGGGAGGAGCGCUUUUAUUAGCUCAAAGCCGACCGGGCUUCAACCCUUCGUCCCCUCGCGGGGCGUUGGGGCGGCCCGUUUCCACUCGGCGAAUCGAAAGAACCCGCAGAUCGCGCGGCGUCUAGCGCGCCCGCGACGCGUCCUUCAAGCGUCUGCCUCAUCAGCUUUCGACGGUAGGUUAGACGCCUACCAUGGCGGCAACGGGUAACGGGGAAUCGGGGUUCGGUUCCGGAGAGGGAGCCUGAGAAACGGCUACCACAUCCAAGGAAGGCAGCAGGCGCGCAAUUUACCCCCUCCCGGCACGGGGAGGUAGUGACGAGGCGUACCGCCGCGGGCCCCCGCGCGGGGCCGCGUAGGCGGAAUGAGCACAUUUUAAGUCCUUUAGCGAGGACCCAUCGGAGGGCAAGUCUGGUGCCAGCAGCCGCGGGAACUCCAGCUCCGAUAGCGUAUGUUAACGCUGCUGCGGUUAAAGAGCUCGUCGCCGGACGUCGGCCUCGGAGGGGCGGUUCGCCGGAGGGCGACACUUCCCCAUUCCGGGCGCAGUGGCGCGUUCCCGGGCGGCUCGGGAAAACCCGGGUCCGUCCCUCCCGUCGGUCGGGGUCAGCCGGUGGUUGGGGCCGAGGUGUUCUCUCUCUCCCUCUGUCGCUAGCCGGCCGGUUGGGGGCGGGGGUUGCGGGUGCGGUUGGUUCUGGGGGAGUUCGGCUCCGCCCGUUGGGGGAUCAAGGGUGCGGCGUCGGUUGCCUCGCGGCCGGUGUGUGGAGGUGGGGGGGCUUCGGCUCUCUCUCUCUCUUCCUCCGGUUCGCGUGCGUAUGCCUCGCCGUCCACCCCCCUCGCGGUGCGGGUCCAGCCGUGUCUUCUCCUCCUCCCACCCCUUCCCCUCAGCCUCUUUUCCGCGUCCGCGCUACGCGCGCAGUAGGGGAGGAGGCCCUCUCCCUUCCAUCCGGUCCCCGGUCACCCGGCGGGUAGGUAGGCGGUCUCCGGGCCCCGGCCUACAACCCGGGAAAUCGGCGCCGGUUUCCUCGAGAAAAUCGGAGUGCUCAGAGCAGGCUGCUAGAGGCUCGCACGGGAGUGCAUGGAACUAGACCCCAACGGCCCCGGCCCGUCUUUGCCGUCGGCUUCGGGGGCCGGGGUCAGGGUCGAUGGGGACGGCCGGGGGUCAUUGGUACCGCGACGUUAGAGGUGAAAUUCAGGGAUCGUCGCGUGACCGACGACUGCGAAAGCAUUUGCCCAGUACGUUCCCGUCGGCCGAGAACGAAAGUCGGAGGCUCGAAGGCGAUCAGAUACCGCCCUAGUUCUAACCUUAAACGAUGCCGACCGGCGAUCCGCCGCAGGAGGCGCGCGUCGGCGCCUCGGCGGGCAGCCCGCCCGGGAAACCCGAGUGUUCGGGCUCCGGGGGGAGUAUGGUCGCAAGGCCGAAACUUAAAGGAAUUGACGGAAGGGCACCACCAGGAGUGGAGCCUGCGGCCUAAUUUGACUCAACACGGGGAACCUCACCAGGUCCGGACCCCGGCAAGAUUGACAGGUUCACACGACACAGCCCUUUCUCGAUCCGGUGGGGGGUGGUGCAUGGCCGUUCGUGGUUCAGUGGAGCGAUCCGUCUGGUUCAUUCCGGUAACGGGCGAGGCCCCGGCCAGUUAACUAGAGCGGGGCUCCCCGCAUAGGGCGCCCGGCUCAGGGGAGGUAACACUCCCCGGCUCUUCUCAACGGGACGGGCGGCGGGAAGCCGCACGAAGUCGGGGCAAGAACAGGUCCGUGAUGCCCUUAGAAGUCCUGGGCCGCACGCGCGCUACACUGACGGAGGCAGCGCGCUCAACCUUCCCUCCCAGUCCGAGAGGACUCGGGAACCGCUGAACCUCCGUUCGUGCUGGGGACUGGGGACUGCAAGGUCCCCACGAACGAGGAAUUCCUCGUAGGCGCGAGUCAUCACCUCGCGUCGAUUACGUCCCUGUCCUUUGUACACACCGCCCGUCGCUACAUCCGAU
rnacentral:rRNA from 1 species